rnacentral:tRNA from 1 species
GGGGGGCUCGUCCAAAGGCGAAGAUAGCACUUUUGCACGGUGAAGAUAACGGUUCGACUCCGUUGCCCUCCACCA